rnacentral:rRNA from 1 species
AGUCGAACGAUGAGCAGGAGCUUGCUUCUGUGAUUAGUGGCGAACGGGUGAGUAACACGUGAGUAACCUGCCCCUGACUCUGGGAUAAGCGUUGGAAACGACGUCUAAUACUGGAUAUGACUUCCGGCCGCAUGGUCUGGUUGUGGAAAGAUUUUUUGGUUGGGGAUGGACUCGCGGCCUAUCAGCUUGUUGGUGAGGUAAUGGCUCACCAAGGCGACGACGGGUAGCCGGCCUGAGAGGGUGACCGGCCACACUGGGACUGAGACACGGCCCAGACUCCUACGGGAGGCAGCAGUGGGGAAUAUUGCACAAUGGGCGAAAGCCUGAUGCAGCAACGCCGCGUGAGGGAUGACGGCCUUCGGGUUGUAAACCUCUUUUAGUAGGGAAGAAGCGAAAGUGACGGUACCUGCAGAAAAAGCACCGGCUAACUACGUGCCAGCAGCCGCGGUAAUACGUAGGGUGCAAGCGUUGUCCGGAAUUAUUGGGCGUAAAGAGCUCGUANGCGGUUUGUCGCGUCUGCUGUGAAAUCCCGAGGCUCAACCUCGGGCUUGCAGUGGGUACGGGCAGACUAGAGUGCGGU